rnacentral:rRNA from 1 species
GAUGAACGCUGGCGGCGUGCCUAAUACAUGCAAGUCGAGCGAACGGACGAGAAGCUUGCUUCUCUGAUGUUAGCGGCGGACGGGUGAGUAACACGUGGAUACCCUACCUAUCAGUCUGGUAUAACUUCGGGAAACCGGAGCUAAUCCCGGAUAAUAUUUUGAACCGCAGGGUUCAAAGGUGAAAGACGGUCUUGCUGUCACUUAUAGAUGGAUCCGCGCUGCAUUAGCUAGUAGGUAAGGUAACGGCUUACCAAGGCAACGAUGCAUAGCCGACCUGAGAGGGUGAUCGGCCACACUGGAACGUAGCCACGGUCCAGGCUCCUACGGGAGGGCGCAGUAGGGAAUCUUACGCAGUGGGCGGAAGCAUUGCGGAGCGACGGCGCGUGAGUGGUGAAGGUCUUCGGAUCGUAAAGCUCUGUUAUUAGGGGAGAACAUAUGUGUAAGUAACUGUGCACAUCGUGACGGUACCGAAUCAGAAAGCAACGGCUAACUACGUG